GGGCCCGCACAAGCGGCGGAGCAUGUGGAUUAAUUCGAUGCAACGCGAAGAACCUUACCUGGGUUUGACAUGCACAGGACGCGCCUAGAGAUGGGUGUUCCCUUGUGGCCUGUGUGCAGGUGGUGCAUGGCUGUCGUCAGCUCGUGUCGUGAGAUGUUGGGUUAAGUCCCGCAACGAGCGCAACCCUUGUCUCAUGUUGCCAGCGCGUGAUGGCGGGGACUCGUGAGAGACUGCCGGGGUCAACUCGGAGGAAGGUGGGGAUGACGUCAAGUCAUCAUGCCCCUUAUGUCCAGGGCUUCACACAUGCUACAAUGGCCGGUACAAAGGGCUGCGAUGCCGUGAGGUGGAGCGAAUCCUUUCAAAGCCGGUCUCAGUUCGGAUCGGGGUCUGCAACUCGACCCCGUGAAGUCGGAGUCGCUAGUAAUCGCAGAUCAGCAACGCUGCGGUGAAUACGUUCCCGGGCCUU
rnacentral:rRNA from 1 species